rnacentral:rRNA from 1 species
UGAGGGAAAGGCGAAAAGAACCCCGGCGAGGGGAGUGAAAAAGAACCUGAAACCGUGUACGUACAAGCAGUGGGAGCCCCACCACCAAAGCAUUCUCUGGUGUUGAAGGCCCUGCAAAGCAGCAUCGCGGUGGCGGAGCGUCGUUUGCGACGCCCAACACACAAAACAAGCGGUGAGUGCUUUGGGGUGGGGUGACUGCGUACCUUUUGUAUAAUGGGUCAGCGACUUAUAUUCUGUAGCAAGGUUAACCGUAUAGGGGAGCCGCAGGGAAACCGAGUCUUAACCGGGCGUUAAGUUGCAGGGUAUAGACCCGAAACCCGGUGAUCUAGCCAUGGGCAGGUUGAAGGUUGGGUAACACUAAC